AUUUUUUUUAACAGCAACGGUCAAAACCGCUUUGGCAAAGGGAUCCUAAUAAAAACAAAUUAGGAGUAUUUUUCCCCCUCAUUUUCCCUAUGUUCUCUCAUCUCCCUCUUAUUUCAAAAGAUAAGACAGACAAAAAUCCCGCGCUGCGGUUUUAAAUCGAACCCUAGUGAUUUCAGAUCCGAAACCCCGCGAUCGCUGGGUUCGGCAAACGACGGGGAGAGAGGCCGGCCGCCAUCGCCGGGAAUUUGAGUGAGAGAUCGAGGGAAAUGCCUUCUGCGAUGGAGAGAGGGAGAUACCGAGAUGGUGCGAGAAGCCCUUCCCACAAAUCCAUCGGUUUGAAAGCAAUGAAGUGAGUCGGCACCGAGAACAGAUGAAGAGUUCGAGAGCAAUGGAUACCGCUCGACCUCUUCUUCAUCUGUUAGCUUCUCUUCGAGAUGGUACGAGAAAAUAUCGAGUCGUGUGACCGUCCGGAUUCAUGAUCUAGGUUUUCAUAGUGGGAGGGCGUGAACCGGGACAAGUAUCCGGUUCCAGGUUUGUCAGCCCGAUCCGCCCUAAAACCGGCCGGUUUUUUUCCCGCUUAAUCGGACCGCUCGAAUGGAGGUUUACUUUAUCUUGGCUGUUAACAGGAUUGGCGGUUACUUGCUGGUUCCUCAUCAUUCUUUCCACCCAGUUGCUGCAGCAAUUGAUGCCAUCUCUGAGCUUGGAUUUGUGCGGGGUGCAAAGAUGUCUGAAGUUGACGCUUUUGGGUUGUAGAUUGUAU